GAUGAACGCUAGCUACAGGCUUAACACAUGCAAGUCGAGGGGCAGCAUGGUCUUAGCUUGCUAAGGCCGAUGGCGACCGGCGCACGGGUGAGUAACACGUAUCCAACCUGCCGUCUACUCUUGGACAGCCUUCUGAAAGGAAGAUUAAUACAAGAUGGCAUCAUGAGUCCGCAUGUUCACAUGAUUAAAGGUAUUCCGGUAGACGAUGGGGAUGCGUUCCAUUAGAUAGUAGGCGGGGUAACGGCCCACCUAGCCGACGAUGGAUAGGGGUUCUGAGAGGAAGGUCCCCCACAUUGGAACUGAGACACGGUCCAAACUCCUACGGGAGGCAGCAGUGAGGAAUAUUGGUCAAUGGGCGAGAGCCUGAACCAGCCAAGUAGCGUGAAGGAUGAAGGUCCUACGGAUUGUAAACUUCUUUUAUACGGGAAUAAAGUAUCCUACGUGUAGGAUUUUGUAUGUACCGUAUGAAUAAGCAUCGGCU
rnacentral:rRNA from 1 species